rnacentral:rRNA from 1 species
CCUACGGGAGGCUGCAGUGGGGAAUAUUGGACAAUGGGGGCAACCCUGAUCCAGCCAUGCCGCGGGUGUGAAGAAGGCCCUCGGGUUGUAAAGCACUUUCAGUGAGGAAGAACGCCUGGUGGUUAAUACCCAUCAGGAAAGACAUCACUCACAGAAGAAGCACCGGCUAACUCCGUGCCAGCAGCCGCGGUAAUACGGAGGGUGCGAGCGUUAAUCGGAAUUACUGGGCGUAAAGCGCGCGUAGGUGGCUUGAUAAGCCGGUUGUGAAAGCCCCGGGCUCAACCUGGGAACGGCAUCCGGAACUGUCAAGCUAGAGUGCAGGAGAGGAAGGUAGAAUUCCCGGUGUAGCGGUGAAAUGCGUAGAGAUCGGGAGGAAUACCAGUGGCGAAGGCGGCCUUCUGGACUGACACUGACACUGAGGUGCGAAAGCGUGGGUAGCAAACAGGAUUAGAUACCCGGGUAGUC